CAAGAAACUUGACUUUUAACGACCAUUUCUUAACGAAAGGAGAUGAAUCCGGUCGUUAUAAAUAUACAUGUAAAGACCGAAAAAAAAUUCAGUCGUUAAAAUUAACUUUUAGCUCAACUCUAACGAGAAAAUAAUAUCCGGUCUUAAAAAGCAUGACAUCCAGUCGUUACUAAACUAAAAAAAGAGCGCCACAUUUGUUUCCCUCAAAAUUUUCCCCCAAACGCCUUCCCUCUUAAAAAAAACAAGAAAAACCCUAAGACACAAACAAAACAGUUUCAGCGAUUUGGUCAUUCCCUAAGCCCCUUCUCCAUAUCUGUGCCACUGAUCAAUCUACAGUGCUUCUAUCUCCAAUUAUCACCGCUUUACAGUGGCGGCACAAAGCUAGGUUCUUUUGGAAACAAUGGCAUGAAGAAAAUUUUGAACAGAUUUUCAUUUGUACACAUAUAUGAUUGGGAAACUUCGUAGAAUUGUAUGGUGAAUAAAGAAGUUUGUCCGAGAAAUUUAGGACAUGGACUGGAGAUAUUUUCUCCAUUUGCUUCACAUUCCUUUCAGGUCAAGAUUUUGAAGUUUGAAGAACUUUUCCUAGAAGAAAGUGUUGAGCAAGUAUAAGCAAUUGAAAAUUUUAAAGAACAAGUUGAAGCACAACAAAGAUCUAUUUGGUUUGAGUUGUUUAAGAUGUUCUCGAUUGUACAUUCUACAAAUCUAUUCUCUUUGUUAGGAGUUGACAAAAAUAAUGUCAUCAAUUUGAAUGAGUAUAUUUUCUGUGAUAUGAUUCUCUUGUUCUUUGUAAUAACCAUAAAAUUUAUAUGAAUAUCGAUUUUUGAUA